rnacentral:piRNA from 1 species
AGAGGUUUGACUUCCUGGAUAUGG